CCUACGGGCGGCAGCAGUGGGGAAUAUUGGACAAUGGGGGCAACCCUGAUCCAGCCAUGCCGCAUGUGUGAAGAAGGCCCUCGGGUUGUAAAGCACUUUCAGUGAGGAAGAACGCCUGGUGGUUAAUACCCAUCAGGAAAGACAUCACUCACAGAAGAAGCACCGUCUAACUCCGUGCCAGCAGCCGCGGUAAUACGGAGGGUGCGAGCGUUAAUCGGAAUUACUGGGCGUAAAGCGCGCGUAGGUGGCUUGAUAAGCCGGUUGUGAAAGCCCCGGGCUCAACCUGGGAACGGCAUCCGGAACUGUGGAGCUAGAGUGCAGGAGAGGAAGGUAGAAUUCCCGGUGUAGCGGUGAAAUGCGUAGAGAUCGGGAGGAAUACCAGUGGCGAAGGCGGCUUUCUGGACUGACACUGACGCUGAGGUGCGAAGGCGUGGGUAGCAAACAGGAUUAGAUACCCCUGUAGUC
rnacentral:rRNA from 1 species